rnacentral:antisense_RNA from 15 species
CGUAUAAAAUGUUUACAGGCGCUGUUACGCUAGAGACUAAUGAGUUUCCGAGAUUUAAAUUUUUAGGAAAUAUAUUUGAAAAAUCACCAAAAAUUGUAUGAUUCAACUUAUUGGAGAAUGGUGGGCCCGGCAGGACUUGAACCUGCGACCACUCCG